rnacentral:rRNA from 1 species
GGAGUAUGGACCGUGUCUCAGUUCCAUUGUGGCCGUUCAUCCUCUCAGACCGGCUACCGAUCGUCGGCUUGGUAGUCUCUUACACUACCAACUACCUAAUCGGACGCAGGCUCCUCGCAAAGCGAUAAAUCUUUAGUACAAGCUCCAUGCGAAGUUUGUACAACAUCCGGUAUUAGCGUCCCUUUCGGAACGUUGUCCCCGACUUUGCGGCAGAUUACCUGCGCAUUACUCACCCGUUUGCCACUGGAUCUCUCAAAAGCAAGCUUCUAAUCAAUCCCGCUCGACUUGCAUGUAUUAGGCACGCCGCCAGCGUUCAUC